rnacentral:rRNA from 1 species
GACGAACGCUGGCGGCGUGCUUAACACAUGCAAGUCGAAGAUAGUGGCGAACGGGUGAGUAAUACGUGGGUAACCUGCCCUCCUUUUUUGGAUAAGCCUUGGAAACGGGGUCUACUACCGAAUAAAGGGGGAUGGGCUCGCGGCCUAUCAGCGUGUUGGUGGGGUGAUGGCCUACCAAGGCGGUGACGGGUAGCCGGCCUGAGAGGGCGACCGGCUACAGUGGGACGGAUCUACGUCCCAGACGACGACGGGGGGCAGCAGUGGGGGAGAUUGGCCAAUGGGCGAAAGACCGAUGCAGCGACGAUGCAGGGGGGAUGAAGGUUUUCGGGUUGUAAACGUCGUGAGCUAGCGAACCGGUAGGUGCAGAAGAAGCGCCGGCUAACUACGUGCCAGCAGCCGCGGUAAUUC